rnacentral:rRNA from 1 species
UACGAAGGGUGCAAGCGUUACUCGGAAUUACUGGGCGUAAAGCGUGCGUAGGUGGUUCGUUAAGUCCGAUGUGAAAGCCCUGGGCUCAACCUGGGAAUGGCAUUGGAUACUGGCGGGCUAGAGUGCGGUAGAGGAUGGCGGAAUUCCCGGUGUAGCAGUGAAAUGCGUAGAGAUCGGGAGGAACAUCCGUGGCGAAGGCGGCCAUCUGGACCAGCACUGACACUGAGGCACGAAAGCUAGGGUAGCAAACGGG